UGGCAAGUUUUGUGCCAGCAGCCGCGGUAAUUCCAGCUCCAAUAGCGUAUAUUAAAGUUGUUGCAGUUAAAAAGCUCGUAGUUGAACCUUGGGCUUGGUUGGCCGGUCCGCUUUAUGGCGAGUACUGGACCCAACCGAGCCUUUCCUUCUGGCUAACCAUUCGCCCUUGUGGUGUUUGGCGAACCAGGACUUUUACUUUGAAAAAAUUAGAGUGUUCAAAGCAGGCCUUUGCUCGAAUAUAUUAGCAUGGAAUAAUAGAAUAGGACGUUAUGGUUCUAUUUUGUUGGUUUCUAGGACCAUCGUAAUGAUUAAUAGGGACGGUCGGGGGCAUCAGUAUUCAGUUGUCAGAGGUGAAAUUCUUGGAUUUACUGAAGACUAACUACUGCGAAAGCAUUGCCAAGGACGUUUCAUAUCAAGAUCGAAAUGG
rnacentral:rRNA from 1 species